CGGGUCUCUGGGCCGUUACUGACGCUGAGGAGCGAAAGCGUGGGGAGCGAACAGGAUUAGAUACCCUGGUAGUCCACGCUGUAAACGUUGGGCACUAGGUGUGGGGCCACCCGUGGUUUCUGCGCCGUAGCUAACGCUUUAAGUGCCCCGCCUGGGGAGUACGGCCGCAAGGCUAAAACUCAAAGGAAUUGACGGGGCCCGCACAAGCGGCGGAGCAUGCGGAUUAAUUCGAUGCAACGCGAAGAACCUUACCAAGGCUUGACAUGUC
rnacentral:rRNA from 1 species